rnacentral:sRNA from 1 species
CUCCACUUUCACGCCCAUCACAUUGCCAUACUGAACACUGUCCCCCACGGUAUCCCCUCUCUAACCACCUGACUUCCCACGUUUCCAUAAAUCCACUCUAGUAAUGUUUGAGUGUAAAAAGGUCUCUGGAGAGUAGGUGGAACAAUACGGUUCCAUAUCCCCAUCAUCGCCGGACAAUCCCUGAGAAUAUGGAGAAUAGUUUCAUCUCCACUCUUGCAAACUUGGCAAAUAGCUGUAUCACAUAAGUGUCUUCUCUGUCUCUCAGUGUUAGUCAUAAUAACCUGAUGAACAACUAGCCAAAGAAAAACUCGCACUCUUUCCGGUGUCCGUUAACAGCUGGGUUUGACACCGUUAAAAUUUGACACCGUUAGAUGAUUCCGUAAAAUUUAACGCCGUUAAAUGAUUCUGUAACGUCCGUUAACGGUUGAGUUUGAUUCCACUAAUAAUUUAUAUCUGAGAUAUUUUGUGAUUACAAAUAAUUAAAUGAG